UGGGAACUGAAAUUUGUUCUGAAGUCUGACCACCCCCUGUUUUGGGGAAGCAACUCCCGGUGGCAAGGUGAAGUUGGGGCUUGACCUCAGGAACGUGGCCGGUGCUUCUAGGAUGUGGCCAGCAAUGGGGAGGAGCUGACCCGGGGAGGAACUUCAAGGCUUGCUGCAGAUGGUGUACCCGUCUGACUGUCCGUCCUGGGGAGUGAGAGGCUUUCUCUGCACACAAAGCCUGAAGGAGGCUCCUCACCACCUCUCUCAACCAUCUCCACUGGAGAUGAAGCUUCUCAAGCCUGGAGAAGCCACGGGACCUUCCAGAUUACAAAUUUCCCCUUUGCAGGGUACAUUCUGCUCCACAGCUGGACAAGGGGUUGAAGCCUUACAUGGCCUGGAGUGCUGACUUCCUCAGGGUCCAGAUGAAAUGUAGGGAAGGACCCUGAGAAGUUAGCGCUGAGAAA